UGCCAGACUCCUACGGGAGGCAGCAGUGGGGAAUAUUGCACAAUGGGCGAAAGCCUGAUGCAGCAACGCCGCGUGAAGGAAGAAGGGUUUCGGCUCGUAAACUUCUAUCAACAGGGACGAAAGAAAUGACGGUACCUGAAUAAGAAGCCCCGGCUAACUACGUGCCAGCAGCCGCGGUAAUACGUAGGGGGCGAGCGUUAUCCGGAUUUACUGGGUGUAAAGGGAGCGUAGACGGCUGGUCAAGUCUGAAGUGAAAGCCCGGGGCUUAACCCCGGAACGGCUUUGGAAACUGAGCAGCUAGAGUGCUGGAGAGGUAAGCGGAAUUCCUAGUGUAGCGGUGAAAUGCGUAGAUAUUAGGAGGAACACCAGUGGCGAAGGCGGCUUACUGGACAGUAACUGACGUUGAGGCUCGAAAGCGUGGGGAGCAAACAGGAUUAGAUACCCGCGUAA
rnacentral:rRNA from 1 species